GGGUGUCUGCCUGGGCACAGUGCUCUGUUGGAAUUAACCACCGACGCUAACAAUUUCAACAAAGUAACUUCACCACUGCUCCAGGUUCUAAGCGUGGCUCAGAGCUCGCCGGCUGUUUUGGGAGAGGAGAGAUACUCAUCGGUAAUUGCACUUUCCUAAGGAAAAGGUUGAGACUUGGCAAGGCCGAUUAAGGUCACAGAGCUGGUGGGUAGCUGGUCUGCCGCAACAGACUGUCUCAGCUCCAAAAGAGCCCAGGGCUUUAGGAACCUGUACAGGGCAUGAGAAUGAUUAUACACUGCCAGUAAUGGUAAUACUGAGAAAUCACUAGAGCAGGCUGGUCUCAAACUAGUAGGGCCUACGGUGAGUUUAGUGGGUUUGCCUCUAGGUCCUAGGGACAGGAGCACCUACUACUCUUACCAGACCUGCUGGGCCUUGGAAGAAUGAUCCCAGAGUGGAGGUAAUCGAAAGCAUUGCCACCCCGGUCUCAUUGGAUCUCUUUCAUUGAAUCCAUGACGCACACUCAGGUGUCCCAAUCAGACUGAGUGUGGUGCGUUAUAGCUUCUGGCUUCUGCUGGCCCUGCCCAUAGAGGCUGGCUCUCCUGGUUCCUGUCUGCUGAGGACUGGACCUGGGACUGGAGUGAUGUGGCCUCAGAGUGUUCCACCGUCAGAGCCUUGGCAAGUGCCACCUCUAUCUUCAGGCUGCUAACUGGUCAAGGAGGCAAACCUUGGAACCCUUUGGGCCUGCCAACCCUGUGGCCCUGAGGGCAGUGAUUCCCAGCGUAGCUCUUCAUUUCUCCACCUCUUCAAUGGCACAGCGGGGACUCAUCUUCAUCAUCAUCUUCUUUUCGGUGGAAAAUUAUCACUAUCUAUUUGGGAAUGGUAAAAUAAGUUAGAGAGGUAUAUGUUUUUAUUUCUGAAUGUUCGUUUCUGUAUAUCUGAAUGUCUUUUUUUAAGAUUAUAAUAUAAUUACAACAUUUCUCCCUUCUCUUUCCUCCCUCCAAACUCUCCCAUAUACCUCUCCUUGCUCUCUUUCAACACUACUUAAAGAUCUACAGGCAACUAACCCUGAAAACACUCAUACGAGUAACAUUCUAACCAAUUAGGUUAUAUUUAGGAAUACAUAUUUAUGUGAUAACAAUUAAUAAAAAGGAUGCUAAUUUCUAUGUA